rnacentral:rRNA from 1 species
UACGUAGGGUGCGAGCGUUAAUCGGAAUUACUGGGCGUAAAGAGCUCGUAGGCGGCUCGUUGCGUCGGCUGUGAAAACCCGCAGCUCAACUGUGGGCUUGCAGCCGAUACGGGCGGGCUGGAGUUCGGUAGGGGAGACUGGAAUUCCUGGUGUAGCGGUGAAAUGCGCAGAUAUCAGGAGGAACACCGGUGGCGAAGGCGACUACCUGGCCUGUUCUUGACGCUGAGGCGCGAAAGCUAGGGGAGCAAACGGG